rnacentral:lncRNA from 1 species
CUCUGUGGCUUGUCUUUUUUGCCUGCAGGUGCCAUAGGUACUGCGACCAUUCUGCAUCUGGCAGGACACGAGUCCCGAUUCACGUUCACAGCCAGCAGUUCAUGUGGCCGAGGUAUUUUGUUAGCUCCAUAGUAUUCAACACACUCCAUGGUUCAUGUUAUGGGAAGACGCAGAGGAAGCAGGACAAGUGCGGGGAGGACAGACACCUCUUCUCCCUCUCCCUGGUGCUCUUGGUGGAUGGGGAGGCAAGAAGAGGCCAAUGUCUGCUUACUGAUUUGAGGACUAGUUGAAGGAAUUGGAAGUGCUUAGCUUGGACUGGCAUGACCAAGGGAGAAAUAAAAGUCAGCAUGGAACAUUUGAAGGUAUGU